rnacentral:tRNA from 1 species
UUAUGAAAAAUUAAAGGAAUAAAAAAAUAGUUUUUAAAUAAAUAAAACUUUUUAUAAGCAAAAUAAUUAAGCUAAUAUUAAAGAAAUAAAAAUAAUUAUAUAAAAAAAUUAUAUUAAGUUUUUUACUAAAACAAGAGUUUUAUUUUUAUUAGUAAUUUAUUCAUAAUUUAUAUUUUUAUAUAAAUUAGUGUUAUAUUAACUGUUCAUAAA